GAUGAUGGAAAAAGAGAUAAAAUGGAAAUACAAACUGUGAGCAGUUUCUCCUCUGAACUGUAAACAUCAAUGCUGAAUUUUUGACAGAUUGUGUGGCUUUAUUUUGUUGGUUUUCAGAACUGAGGUCAAAAUUAAGAGGGGUAUUUGGGGGCAUUCGUAUUGUGCCACUAAAGGUAAAUUCUUGGACCGGUGAAAGACAGACCAGAGGGAAUUCAUUUACCAAUAAUGUUUUCAUUAAUCAAGAA
rnacentral:ncRNA from 1 species